ensembl:lncRNA
GCUAAAGGAUGACUCCUUCUCUUCUUGAACUCCUCUCCCAGCCAACCACAACGUGUUGCUCAUCAGGCCUUAAUUAAGUUCCCCAAUUGACAACCAACUCACCUCUAUAUUAUGGCACACGUGGAUUUUGGUUUACUUUUUGCCGGACUGUGAAGCUCCCGUUUGUACACAUAAUUUUCAUUCUUUCCAAGUCUGUAAAAUUAUCCUCAGGUUUCUUCUUUGUAUUUUGCCUGAACAACAAAAAUCAACCCUGGCCUCCAACGGGGUGCUUCGAUAAGAGCCCUGCAGGAUAACUGAAGAACUUGAUGAUUAGACCGCAAGACUCCUUGACGUUAACCAAACCAUCUUGCCAGAAGUUACUCAUGCUGGCUUUCAUAUUGUGCAUAAGGACAGAACCAAGUUGAUCUACUCCUGUCUACUGUCCGGUGUCUUUCACUUCUACGGAGCAUGCGUUUCCUCAAAACCCAACCUUUCCCUUGGUCUUUCCACAAGCUUCUUGUGUCCACUUGGGGGUUUUGAGUGUCAAACCUCAAAGGCUUCAGAGAUGACAUUUAAUACUUGUUGCUUCAUAAAUAAACAAUUUUUAUAAGAUUGUUAGUCGUCAUUUUUCUGGUUUUUCUUUCCAGUAAGAGUUUAUAUCAAUACAAUGUCGGUACUGUUGGCAGAAUAUGAACUUGAAAAGCAGGCCAAAGGGUGGCACUCCAAAUGAAUUAAAGGUGAUGUCAGAUUUUAAGAGCUGUAAUUUUUUAGUAAUCUCUGGGCCAUCCGUCAGCUAUUUGAGGG